rnacentral:rRNA from 1 species
CGCACGGGUGAGUAACACGUGACUAAUCUACCCUCCGAGUGGGGAAGUAACUGAGAGAAAUCUUAGCUAAUACCGCAUAACACUUACGAGUCAAAGCAGCAAUGCGCUUGGGGAGGAGGUCGCGGCCGAUUAGCUAGUUGGCGGGGUAAUGGCCCACCAAGGCGAUGAUCGGUAUCCGGCCUGAGAGGGCGCACGGACACACUGGAACUGAAACACGGUCCAG